AUCCUCUAGAAAACUUUAUUCAUGUCAGCAGAACAAUUAAUUCAAUUUGCGUAUGUUAAUAUUCAAAAAUAUUGCAAAUGGUAGUUAUCUUGGAUUGAAGUUUUAAUACUCUUAAAUAAAAUAUGAAGAUAAAUUGGAAAUAAAGCAUUCGAUUUAUUGGUAAGUUAGUAGAUAAUCAACAAUCAACUUUCAACCCGCUUAAUUGUAUAAAAUUAAAAAGAACGUGCAAUCUUUUAAGAGUAACAUGUACAAAUACUCAACUACAUGUCUUGGUGAAACUAAAGAAUGAAAGAGAAUAAAAGAACAACUAAAAUAGAUAGCAAAAACCAAUCUCCAGUAACUUACUCUCACCACACUCUUAUUAAAGGUACUGAUUUUUAACAUAAAGUGCUUCACAAAUAAGUCGAGAAAACAGGUCCCUAGGCAACUCGAGAUCGAGAACAGGAAGAAAAAUAAAAUGAUGCCACGGGCAAUUACAAAAACAUCAUGCUACAUUGAUGAUUUGGAUUCAUUUACUCUAUUUAAUGAAGAAACCUAUAUCGCCGCAUGAAAAUCACAUAUUAUACAAUGUAAUCCAAAUGGUUUUGCCUAUUUUAACGUUCUCAAAUAACUAUGUCUAACAUCAUCCACAAGAUAUCCUGAAAAUCUCUUUUCUAUUAUUACAUAAGUGUAAUAUAGAAUCCUGAAAAUGUUUCAACAGACCGUGAACAAGAGAAAGGGUACAGACAUAUAGAUGCAUCACACAACCCUCAGUCCAAUGAUUCCACUAUGUGAAAUAAUCACAUAAUAUUUUUUUACACCCGAAGCCGCAAGAACAAUCUCACGUCAAGCCUAAAAAAUAAUGACUAGAUUGAGAAUUAUGAAGAAAUAUAAUAUGUUUCUCCCCUAUCCUCUUUCUUCCCUUUACUUGAAGUCCAUCAAGUGUUUUAUACGUAAACCAGAGUUUACUACCCAGAGUUGCAAAAUCAAAAAAAAAAAGAAGAAGAAGAAAUAUCUUCCCUAGGAUGUGAAGAAGAAACGAUUUCCAUCGAUUUCCCGAUUCAAACCUUAUAUCCGUCAACACUUUCCUUUCACAAUUGAAAAAAUAAAAUAUGCAGAACAAAUAGAAAUAAUAGAAUCAACAACGAUAUAUGAAAAUUUGGGAUGAAUUCAUUGUUAUUUGGGGGAAUUUUUUGAAACAAAAUCACCUAGACCGACAGAAAGAUGCAGAGGCGUAGAAAUUCACAUAAACUUCCAGAUUGAAACGGAGAUAGAGUUGAGAAGAAAUUAAGUAGGGAUUCACGAAUUCCCUAUACCGAAAGAGAGAUAGAGAGGCGAAGAAACUCACAAAAUCCCUUGGACCGCGCGAACGAGAGAUGGAGAUGAGGAGAAAACAACGCAGGGAAGGAUUUAGGAGAAUUGAUAUAUUCUUAGGGUAAAAGCUGCAGGACGCGUAUAUGUUUUGGUAAAAU
rnacentral:lncRNA from 1 species